rnacentral:rRNA from 1 species
GACGAACCGUGCGAACGUUGUUCGGAAUCACUGGGCAUAAAGGGCGCGUAGGCGGCCUGGCAAGUGGAAGGUGAAAUCCCUCGGCUUAACCGAGGAACUGCCCUCCAAACUGCUUGGCUUGAGUCCGGGAGAGGUGAGUGGAAUUCCCAGUGUAGCGGUGAAAUGCGUAGAUAUUGGGAGGAACACCAGUGGCGAAGGCGGCUCACUGGACCGGAACUGACGCUGAGGCGCGAAAGCGUGGGGAGCAAACGGG